UAGUCCACGCCGUAAACGAUGUCUACUAGCCGUUGGGGAACUUGAUUCUUUAGUGGCACAGCUAACGCACUAAGUAGACCGCCUGGGGAGUACGGCCGCAAGGUUAAAACUCAAAUGAAUUGACGGGGCCCGCACAAGCGGUGGAGCAUGUGGUUUAAUUCGAUGCAACGCGAAGAACCUUACCUGGUCUUGACAUCCACAGAACUUUCCAGAGAUGGAUUGGUGCCUUCGGGAACUGUGAGACAGGUGCUGCAUGGCUGUCGUCAGCUCGUGUUGUGAAAUGUUGGGUUAAGUCCCGUAACGAGCGCAACCCUUGUCCUUAUUUGCCAGCACUUCGGGUGGAACUUUAAGGAGACUGCCGGUGACAAACCGGNGGAAGGUGGGGACGACGUCAAGUCAUCAUGGCCCUUACGACCAGGGGCUACACACGUGCUACAAUGGGUAAGUACAGAGGGGACGCGAAUCCGCGAGGUGGAGCUAAUCCCAGAAAACCUUAUCGUAGUCCGGGAUUGGGAGUCUGCAACUCGAC
rnacentral:rRNA from 1 species